AGCAUAUCAAUAAGCGGAGGAAAAGAAACUAACAAGGAUUCCCCUAGUAACGGCGAGUGAAGCGGGAUGAGCUCAAAUUUAAAAUCUGGCUGGUUUACUAGUCCGAAUUGUAGUUUAUAGAAGCGUUUUCGGNGGCAGCCUGGGUAUAAAUCCUUUGGAAUAGGGUAUCAUAGAGGGUGAGAAUCCCGUCUUUGACUCAGUGCAUGCUACUAUGUGAUACGUUUUCAAAGAGUCGAGUUGUUUGGGAAUGCAGCUCAAAAUGGGUGGUAAAUUUCAUCUAAAGCUAAAUAUUGGCGAGAGACCGAUAGCGAACAAGUACCGUGAGGGAAAGAUGAAAAGAACUUUGAAAAGAGAGUUAAACAGUGCGUGAAAUUGUUGAAAGGGAAACGUUUGACACCAGUUAUGCGGGUGGAAAAUCAGUCUUUUGCAAUGGGGAGUUGUGGGCGUUCAGACCGCAAGGCUGGCGUUUGCUUCAUCUUUGUUGUAAGUGAUGCACUUUUUCAUUUGCAGGUCAACAUCAGUUUGCUUUGCUGGACAAAACCCCAAGGGAAGGUGACAGCUUAGGCUGUGUUAUAGCCCUGGGGCGAUACAGUGGAGUGGANUGAGGUUUCGCAGUGUGUGCUCUCGGGCAAGGCUGACUGGGUGCUAUGGGAUCGUUCGGCGUACAAUGCAUGCAUUNUGCGUCGUGUCUUUUUCAUACUCGCUCAACUCGGCUCUUCCACACUUAGGAUGUUGACUUAA
rnacentral:rRNA from 1 species